rnacentral:rRNA from 1 species
GAUGAACGCUGGCGGCGUGCCUAAUACAUGCAAGUCGAGCGAACAGACGAGGAGCUUGCCCCUCUGACGUUUGCGUCGGACGGGUGAGUAACACGUGGAAACCCUACCUAUUUGACUGGGAUAACUUCGGGAAACCGGAGUUAAUACCGGAUAAUAUAUUUAACCGCAUGCUUCAAUAUUGAAAGACGGUUUUGCUUUCACUUAUAGAUUGAUCCGGGCCGCAUUAUCUAUUUGGUUAGGUAACGGCUUACGAAGGCAACGAUGCGUAGCCGACCUGAGAGAGUGACCGGCAACACGGGAACGGGACCACGGUCCAGACUCCUAGGGGAGGAAGCGUGAGGGAAUCUUCGGAAAGGGGCGAAAGCCUGACGGAGCAAGGCCGCGUGGGGGAUGAAGGUUUUCGGAUCGUAAGAUUCUGUUAUUGGGGAAGAACAAAUGUGUAAGUAACGAUGCACGUAUUGACGGUACCGAAUCAGAAAGCCACGGCUAACUACGUG